rnacentral:rRNA from 1 species
GUAGGGAAUAUUGGGCAAUGGAUGCAAGUCUGACCCAGCCAUCCCGCGUGCCGGAAGAAGGCCCUCAGGGUUGUAAACGGCUUUUGACGGUGAAGAAUCGACAGGAUGCGUCCUGUUUUGACGGUAGCCGUUGAAUAAGCACCGGCUAACUCCGUGCCAGCAGCCGCGGUAAUACGGAGGGUGCGAGCGUUGUCCGGAUUUAUUGGGUUUAAAGGGUGCGUAGGCUGGAAGGUCAGUCAGCGGUGAAAAGCUGUCGCUUAACGAUAGUCUUGCCGCAGAUACUUCCUUUCUUGGAUGAGGAGGAGGCCACUGGAACGGAUGGUGUAGCGGUGAAAUGCAUAGAUAUCAUCCAGAACACCGAUUGCGAAGGCAGGUGGCUGUACCUUAAUCGACGCUGAUGCACGAAAGCAUGGGGAGCAAACAGGACUAGAAACCCUUGUAGUCC